rnacentral:lncRNA from 1 species
UCCCUCCUUUUUCCGUAUGUGUAGUGCAAAUAAUAAAAACUGGCAAUAGGUAAAGGUAAAAGCAACAUGUAAGUGUAUUGGGGGGAUAAAUUUACAAAUCAGGGAACGGGUAAUUGUGAAUAAACAGUAACUAGAUAAACAAUACAAAACAGUGAAACGGCAGCUUUAAAACAGGAGCAUGAAGCUCAGGCCCAAAAUACAAGUCACCCUGGCAAUAACAUAUAUAAACUCUCAACUGAGAAAACUCAGUUUAUCUCAUUAUGUUGUCAGCACGUCUGUGGCGGCGGUGAAGUCCAGGACCUACACUCGUUGGGUAAUUGGAACCCGCAGAGGAGGAGCACUGGAGAGUCCCUCAGUGUCUCAGAGUGGAAGAAGCGGACCGAAACCCUCUGGUGAUGUUGUAUCCAGGAAUAGGAGCAGAGGCCGAAUGUUCCAUACCACUUCCUUUGAAGCCACAAGAAACUACAGACUGUUCCCGUGUCUAAGGUAUCCAGGAGAGCCAUCCCAUAUAUCUACUCAUUUCUAUCUUUCUUUCAUCUUCUAAGUUGUCUUUGACCAGUUCAUCUUUCCUUGACAUUAUCUCUCUGCCCGAUCAUUGAGCCCCUGGAGGAGGAUGGCAGAAGAAUCGUGGCAAAUACUGCAGAGGGCUUGCUCUGGUCAAAUGUCCUUUAAAAAAGGGUUAUAAUAUAAGAUAAAAUAUUCUUAAUUAUCUGGUCUUUAAUUCAGACUAUAUGUUUCAGCUAUGCAGUGGAGUUUUAAAAGACCAAAGACUGUAUUUUAUGAAUGGGCUUGGAAGGAUUAGAUUUGUAUCAGUAGACAUCAGUAAAUGUCAAUUUCACUGUACACCCACAAACCGACAAAACAAUACUUCCAUCAGUAAUAAUCAAAAUUUACAGAUAAGCAAAGUAAGAAUAAUGCUGCUUGAGAACUUCUUAGACUUUGAUUUAAGGAGAGAUUUAUUUUGUAUGAUUUGACACAUGAUAUUGACAAUUUGUGUUUCAACGGUUAUAAACCUUUACCUUUUUGAAGCUCAGCAUUUACUAUCAUUAAAUAAUUAUUGUCUGAACCCUCUUAAUUUUCCAGAACUGUGAAAAUUUUAAUUGAUAACAAUAGAAAAAAUCCUUAAAACCCAUAAUUUUGCACAACUGUGAAAAUGUACAUAAAUAAAAAAAUAUUAACAAUAAACA